AAGUUUUUUCCUUUUAUUGGUAGUUUUUCCUUGAGGUCUGUUAUGUUGUUUCUGAGUUCUAAUUCUGAUUUGUUUUUUUUUUUUUUUUUCAGCUCAUUUUCUUUUUGAGACAGAGUCUCGCUCUGUCACCAAGGCUGGAGUGCAGUGGCAUGAUCUUGGCUCACUGCAACCUCUGCGUCCUGGGUUCAAGCAAUUCUCCUGCCUCAGCCUCCUGAGUUGAUCUGUUUUUGAGCAUGUGCUCUCAUUGUCUAUAGGGAUAUUAUUCUCUUGCUUCUUUUCCUCUCCUUCUCCUUCUUUUCUUAGUUUUCUUCACCUUUUAAUUGAAACUUUGUAUAAUAUUUGAUCUUGAUACUUUUUUUGUUUGUUAACCAUUUUAAUGUAAAUUUGGUUUUGGUUUUAUUGAACUUUUAAAAGGAGGCUUGCUUGAGAUCAGAUUUUGUUCACUUUGCAGAGCUCUCUCUCUCUUUUUUUUCUUUUUUCAUUUGUUUCCUGAGAUUUCCUGGCUCUUUUCCCCUCCUGUCCUUCAAUCUGGACCUUCUUUUUCAUUUAACUCUGUUGCUCCUACCCUGCCUUUGUCCUAUUCCACUCCCAGAAGUUUAUCCUGCGUGGUUCUGUUCUGAAAGGAAGCCCUGUUGGGUCUGUUUGAAGAGUUCAGAGGGAUUUGACUGCUCCAGUGCCUUGAAGGCCUUACUCCUGGCCCCUUACAUUCACCCACUAUUGAAAUGUAUACCGCUCUUCCUAAACUGGCCCGCUGCACUUGGAGUCAGUAUCUGUUGCCUUAUUGGGGAAUUCUCAGUUCAUCAGUUGCAUCGUUGUAGCUUUCCUCUGAUUUCUCCAACACAGGCGCUGAUAACAUGUAAAUCUUGUUGUUACUAUUGGCGUUUUUUUCCCCCACUCAUUUGUGUUUUGGGGUUUAUGGGGAUACCUCAUCACUUAGCUUUGCUGUAAAUAUUGGUUGUGUCUGGUUUGACAUCAAUUUUUCUGUAUGUUUUUAUGGAAGAAUUCAGUGAGAUCUAAAACUAUGCUGUCACUGCUGCCCCUAUCUUCAUUUUUCAAGUUUUUGACAGUGGUAUUCACACAUAAUCCGUCAGGGAUGUGAUAUCGUUUUUGAUUCCCUGUUUGGUUCACUUCACUUGUCUCUUCCUUCCAUGAUAAGGAACACAACGUGGAGAUUCUGCCACUUGCCAAAAUGGUAUUCCAACUCUGUGUUCUGGAAUCGGAAAAUAACCACAGAAUGGGUUCAUGAACUCCCUUGGCCAAGAUGGAGUCUGGCCAAAACUGCAUGUAUCGCUUGACUCUCCUAAGUUCUUUCUCUUACUAAUGGAUCACAGUUGCCUUUGGUGUCCCUAAGGGUAACACUAAGAAACAGUGUUCAGUAACGCCUCCCAAGUCUAGAUAUUUCCCUUUCCCCAGUGCACAAUUACCCUGACAAAUGUCUUUAGUUUUCUUAAGGAGACAAGAAGUUUACAAUUCAUACUUGGGACAGUGCCAUAGGAUCCUUCCUCAUGGGUAUCUGGCUUCUUCAUUCAAUGGAAUCAAACAGUAAAUUGGAUCAGUUUCUGGAAACUGGGUAAGGAAAUCUGAAUUUCCAUUGAGAGAACUCAAAUCAUUCCACCACGUUUAGGACUUUUUUUUUUCCUUGACUUUGUGUCUGUCUAUCUCUUUCAAUCCUAGGAAGACCGUAAUACAUAGCCUCGUUCUUGAGGGUCAAAACAUUCUGAUGACCACUGUAUUCCUGCCACUUACAUGGGAGGCAGUUACCACUUCCAUUUGUCCUCUGCCACUCCAGAAUCCUAUCAUCACAACUGCACUCAGAGAGCCUGUUUCUAUAGCAGUAUCUCCUACAUAAGACAGCUUUACCGGCAGGUGCGGUGACUCACACUGGUAAUCCCAACACUUUGGGAAGCCAAAGUGGGAGGAUUGCUUGAGCCCAGCAGUUUAAGACCAGCCUGGGCAACAUGGUGAGACCCCAUCUCUACAAAGAUAAAAAAAAUUAGUUGGGCGUGGUGGAGCCUAUAUUCCCAGCUACUUGUGAGGCUGAGGUGGAAGGAUUACUUGAGCCUGGGAGAUUGAGGCUGCAAUGAAACAUGAUCACCCCACUGCACCCCAGCCUGGAUGACACAACAAGACCCCAUCUCAAAAAAAAAAAGACAAUCACUGUAAUGUUUUAAAGGAUAUUGGUGCUUGAACCACAGAUGUACUUCUCUGUGUCUUAGUGAAGGGAAUGUUCUUUGGUCUCUUUUGGUCAACACAGAUGGUGACUGAACAGGUCAUGCAUAGUAUUUCCAUUUUAACAUUACUAACUCCCCAAGUCUUUGAAUUUUUUUGCCUCUACAUUAUAUCAUGGAUUUUUUUUUUCUUUUUCAAAUGGAGUCUUACUCUGUCAUGCAUGCUGGAGUACAGUGGCAUGAUCUUGGUUCACUGCAACCUCUGCCUCCUGGGUUCAAGUGAUUCUUGUGCCUCAGCUUCCUGAGUAGCUUGGGACUACAGGCAUGCACCACCACACCUGGCUAAUUUUUGUAUUUUUAGUAGAGAUGAGGUUUCACCAUAUUGGUCAGCCUGGUCUCGAACUCCUGACCUCAUGAUUCUCCUGACUUGGCCUCCCAAAGUGCUGGGAUUACAGGUGUGAUCCACUGUGCCUGGCCCUAUAUCAAGGAAUUUUUGAUAGCACUUAGGGUAGGCCUCUUUUGAAACUAGAUUUCAGUCGAUCAACUGAACAGAUUCAUCCUCUUGAAUUAGUUCACUCGAUUCAAAAUCUAGCAAAUGCAGCCAUCAUGAUAAUAAUCCCUUCUGUUUGAUGUAGCCUUUUCCCUAUGUGGCUCCAUUAUGACACAUAUUCCCUAGUCUUCUAGAGAUAUGAAUAAGCAGAAAAUUGCAAAUAUUUAAAUAGGUAAACAUUUUGUCUCUCUUAGGCAUGAUGGAAUUUGGCUUUCUUUAAUAGGUCAAAAGACCAUGAAAAUUAUUGUGGUGGAACAUGAGGAUAUUUGGCAUCCUUUUGAAGAAGUCACUGCAGGGUCUCCACACAAAGCAGAGCAGGCAUGAUUGGGUGGAGAAGAAGGGUUGCUUCUGCUGGUGAGCAAGCCACAGUGCCUACUGGGGGCUCCAAGAACUCAUAUUCAUCUGAAAUCACAAACAUUCUGAUUUCAAUUUUCAAAGUUCCACUCUUUCUUAACCAAAGUCUAAUUUGCACAUAGAGGACCCGGUGAGGCUGUGAAUUCAAUUUAAUUUGUGAUUUAAAACUUGCACGAUCAGCCUUGGCAUCUCAUUUUUGGACAUCAUCCCAUUCGCUUUAAGAGAUUAGAGAUUGUUUGAUGGCAGUUACAGAAACUCUCCAAUCUUCUAAUUUUGCCUUGAGCUUAGAAUUUAAAGAAAUUUAAAGGCCUGAGCCUUUCUUUAAGCUCUUUGGGGCUCGCUCAGAAGAAUCCAGCCUGUCCCAUCAUCCUUGGUUGCCCCAUUCUUACCAUACUGAUCCAGCAAAAGGCAUGCUUCAAUAGGCACUUAAUGUAAGCCCACCAGCCGUGUGAUAGUUUAAGGAACUCUUUGCAACUGUACCUUGGGCUGCCAGUUUCCCAUUUUUCAGUGGGAAUUGAAUCAGCCCUGUCUUCAAACCCAACCAAAUCAGAUAACCAUUCCCAAAUCCUUGUUGGUGAGUCUGCUGUCUAUAACUACUUCCAGUCUCAAGAACUGUUAUUAGUCAGGGCUCAAUAUAGGAGAUGGAAAACAAGGCAGGCGUUAGAAGCAUUAGAGGAUUUUACAUAAUUAGAGAAUUUUAUAUAAGAAAUGAGGGCCAGGCACGCUGGCUCAUGCCUAUAAUCCCAGCACUUUGGGAGGCCGAGGCAGGCAGAUCAUGAGGUCAGGAGUUUAAGACCAGCCUGGCCAACCCCAUCUUUACUGAAAAUACAAACAUUGUCUAGGCAUGGUAGCACAUACCGAUAAUACCAGCUACUCGGGACGGUGAGGCAGGAGGAUUGCUUGAACCCAGGAGGUGGAGGUUGCAGUGAGCUGAAAUCGUGUCACGGCUCUCCAGCCUGGGUAACAGACCAAGACUCUGUCUUGGAAAAAAACAUAAGGUGACUUAAAAAUGGUUGGAAAUGCUAGAGUAGCAUGAAUCAGGAGACCACCACUGGAACUAUUCAGCUCAGUGCUCAUCAUCAUAGAUUCUAUUCAGAGAUCAGGUAUUUGGGGCUUAGGAAGCCACUUCCUUUGUCACAUUGAAAUGUUUUUGACAUCCAUAAACGUGUUAACCAGGUUCUGAGUCUGGUCAUCACCGCCCCAUAGCUGCUCUUGAUGCUCAUGUAUUCAUGAGCCUGCUUGUUAGCAGAAAUAGCAAUAGGAUAAUAGCCUGUGAAAGAUUAAUGAAAAUGUGGCUAUAAAAACAGUAAAAGAAAACAAAGAGGCCGGGCGCGGUGGCUCAAGCCUGUAAUCUCAGCACUUUGGGAGGCCGAGGCGGGUGGGUCACGAGGUGAAGAGAUCGAGACCAUCCUGGUCAAAAUGAUGAAACCCUGUCUCUACUAAAAAUACAAAAAAUUAGCUGGGCAUGGUGGCGCGUGCCUGUAAUGCCAGCAACUUGGGAGGCUGAGGCAGGAGAAUUGCCUGAACCCAGGAGGCGGAGGUUGCGGUGAGCCGAGAUCGCGCCAUUGCACUCCAGCCUGGGUAACAAGAGCGAAACUCCAUCUCAAAAAAAAAAAAAAAAAAGAAAAGAAAACAAAGAAAGAAGUUUAUACACGAAGAAGAGAGAUGAGAUGGUAACUAGUGGGAGAAUACAGAAGAAAGGGACAGUUUUUAUUUGGAUGUAAGAGACUUAAGCAUUGUUACGGGCUGAGGGGAAGAUAAAGGAGAGGGUGGUUGAGGAUAUAGGAUAGUAGAGUAGGGGCGUUUGAUGAAACAAGCUCUGGAGAAAGAAGGGAGGCAGGAAUCAGGGUUAUAGGAAUCACGGUUGACCCCAAACAGGAAAGCAAACGGAGCAGCCUUAUUCUGAGGAAAGCCAGGCAUCUUCCGGGACCUUGAACAUGCAAAGAUUUGACCCAUGCAAUGACCCUACUGGAUGUGAGAAAUAAAGGUACAUAAUCAUAGGUGAACACAUGUGUGCUUCAGUCAUACCAGAGCGGUUUGUGUAAAAGAGACAACUGGAUGUGGAUAUAGUUUUUAUUUUUUUUCAAAUGAAGAACUUAUUUGGGGGCAUCUCAUCUUUCAAAUUACUUUAAACAGGUUGCUGUCAGAUGUUUACUUAGGACAAAUAUAAUCUAACAUGUAGUGUGUGAAAUAUGAACGCUAUUCCACAACUACUUGGAAUCAGAGUUGUGCACUCUUGUAGAUAUGUGAAACUGACCAACAAUGGAUCAGUGGGUUAUCAGGACUCAACAUGGCUCUGCUCAAACCUCGUUUGUACACAGGAUCCUCCAUUUCCACUAGCCAUCAGAUCUCCUUUACUUAACUCUAGCCAUCAUUGACAUGGCUCUUUGUAUGACCCUGAGAAGUCAGUUAUCUUUGGUUGGGGAAAAUAAUACACUAAGGUAAAACAUUGUAAAAAUGUCUAUUCUUAGAAGUGAAUAUGAUAAGAACAAAACUUUUGGGCUAAGCUAUGCAAAAAGACCAAAAGCAGGUAACUAGGUCAGAAUGCAACCUGCCUUUAUCGCCCAGGCUGGAGUGCAGUGGUGUCCCAAUUCACUGCAACCUCUGCCUUCCAGGUUCAAGUGAUUCUUGCGCCUCAGCCACCCAAGUAGCUGGGAUUAUAGGUAUGCACCACCACAUCUGGCUAAUUCUUUGUAUUAUUAGUAGAGAUGAGGUUUCACCAUGUUGGCCAGGUUGGUCUUGAACUCCUGGCCUCAAGUUAUCCACCCAGCUUAGCCUCCCAAAGUGCUGAGUUUAUAGGCAUGAGCCACCACACCUGGCUUCAACCUGUCUUUCCUUUCCUUUUUUUUUUUUAACCUGCCUUUCCUUAGCAGUCCUUUGCCAGGACUGCUAAGCUCAUAGCACAUAAGCAGGGGCUUUUGUGUGUCAGGGAACCUGGAAAGCACAGAUCAGUUCUCUUACUCAUAUUGAUGUGGUCAGUGUGGGAAGGUAUGUGGUGAGCAGAGGGGUGAAGUCUCAGCUAACUGCUUGAGCUGAGUAGAAAUGUGGAAGGUGCUUUCUAAGGAAAAGGAAGAUAAUUUUCAAUUCCUUUCUUUUUCUUUGGUCAGUCUCAGUAUCAAGGGAGUCACUUGGCUGGGCCCUAAACUGUCCCAUAUAAUCUCAUCCUCACUCCCCUACAUAUCCACCAUCCUAGAUAAACUUACAGUUCAAGUAAAAGUGGGUUGUGCAGAUGUGAUGCAAACAUACCCUCAAGAACGUUCCCUGAGUGCUCUUUUCAACCAGACAGCUGGCCCAAGCCCUUACUAUAUAGAUAGUUUGAAGCUGUUGCAGCUUUUGAUCAUAUUAUAUGUUCUAAUGCUUUAUUUUGAAGGCAAGGUUGAAAACGCUUUCCUAUAAUGUGUUAAAAAUUUGUCUGUGGGUCUCCUUCCUCCCUGUUACAUCCUCCAGGGGCUCAAUGCCUUUCACUGCCUCUAUUUGCCAAGACCUCCAAUUCUCUUACCCACUCCACAUCUAGAGCUCUUCCCCCAUCUUUUGAGAUCAAUCUUACCUGUGUCCCUUUUUCUCAGGGCUCUGCGAGGUGACUGGUUAUCUAAUUUAAUUAACUAAUGCACAAUAAAGUCCCACUGGCUUCAUGCAUCACCCUUUGAGGAUAACAUUUACAUUUUAAAUGAAGCUUCUUAGACCGUCAAGCUGGACAAGUAGCUUAUAGAUCAUCAGGACAAAUGCACUGAUUUUGUAGAAAAGGCUAUUAAGGCUCUGAGGCCUCACAGGACUUGCUGGGGGUUUUGGGGCUGGUAAGGGGCAGAGUCAGAACUGGAAUUGGUUUGGAGUUUAGUGUACCUUGCCCCAUUAUACAUAAGCUCUCAUAACAGGAUUAGUUAAUAGAAGAAUCUGCAAAUGUUAAAGAGAAAAAAGUGUUUUGAAUUGUGUAUUUGAUAUUUAACAUACGUUUACAUACAAAGUUGUCAUCACUCCUAACCUACAAUUCCAUUUUUUUUUUUUUUUUUUUUUUGAGACAGAGUCUCACUCUGUUGCCCAGGCUGGAGUUCAGUGGUGCGAUCUUGGCUCACUACAACCUCUGCCUCCCAGAUUCCAAGUGAUUCUCCAGCCUCAGCCUCCUGAGUAGCUGGGAUUACAGGCAUGUGCCACCAUGCCUGGCUAAUUUUUGUAUUUUUAAUACAGUCAGGGUUUCACCAUAUUGGCCAGGCUGGUCUCAAACCCCUGACCUCAAGUGAUCCACCCCCUUCGGCCUCCCAAAGUGCUGGAAUUACAGGCAUGAGACACUGUGCCUCGCUAAAAUUCCCGUUCUCACCAGUAUCUCUGUGAUAUGUUUAGCACAGUGUACUGCAACUGUUUUUACUUGUGUGCCUCCCCACCUGGACAAUGAGCUCCCAAGGACAGGGACUGGACUCUGUUUGUCAUUGCACCCAGCUCCCAGGUCAAGAUAGGGCAGAGUGGGCAUUCAAUAUACAUCACUGAAAGAAUGGGUGAAUGCAUACAUGAUCAGUAGGCACCGCUGUGUUGUGCUUCUGAGCAAAGUUGUUCUAGUGGCGAGGCAUCUUUCCCAACAUUCUCCAAACCACACCAGAUACUCACUGUCUUUCUCUACUUCCUCCGAAGGCUGGUUUCUAAUUUUAUAUUUUUGUGUCAUUGACAGCAUACAUUGGUGUUACCUCUCUAGUUUCUUUUACUUCGUAAGACUUCUUUUUCUCAUAUGGUUAGCAUUUCCCUUUUGCAAGAUUAGGAAGUGACAUACUUUAAGAAUACGAGAUUAAUCUGUUCUGAUUUUUUUUUUUUUUAUUCUCAGCUGGGAUAAAAAAAGAGCCUUUUGAAGAGCCUUCAAAUCAACAGUAAUUUCAAAUUUUCACAACAUAAAGAGGCAGAGCGCAAAGUGAAUUUGACACUUUGAAAAAUGCUGCAAGCCUCCCAGUAGACGGAUGAACGUGUUUCCACUUCAUGAAAGCUUGUUUCAUAAGUAUUCCAUAAAUAUCGAUGUCAGGGUUGUUAAGUAAUUAAUAUUAACCUAUUGAGAAAGCGUUUCUUUUCUACGUGGUUGAUUUCCAGUGGGGAGACUAAUUAAAUAUUAAAGACCAUGUGAAAUGAUUUCUAUAAUUACAGUUUCUAGCUGUAUUUACAAAUGAUGUGCAUACUGAAAUAAUCGUAUGAUUCUAAUACAUUUUUAUUCCUAUAUAGCAUAUAUAGAUUUUUUCAGUCUAGAUUUCCUCUGCUCAAGCCUGACUAUAGUUAUUUAUUACCCUUCACAAUUGCGCUUAUAAACUUUUCCCUCUUUCCACUAUGUUUUGAAAGGUUACCAUUCCACAUUCCACACCAGCCUCUCUGGUGGUUAUUUCUUUUCUUUUCUUUUUUUAAUGUUUUGUUUGUUUUAAUCACAAAAGACCUCCAUAUGUAUGGUAAAUUAAAGUCCUUAAGACAAUGGGAGAUGGAGCAACAUAGCUUAAAAUAAAACUUUAAAGUAGAUUCUUUUUCUUUUUUUUUUUGAGACAGAGUCUUGCUCUGUCACCAGGCUGGAGUGCAGUGGUGGGUUCUCGGCUCAGUGCAAUCUCCGCCUCCCAGGUUCAAGCAUUUCUCCUGCUUCAGCCUCCUAAGUAGCUGCGACUACAGGUGCAUGCCACCACACCUAACUAAUUUUUGUAUUUAUAGUAGAGACGGGGUUUCACCAUGUUGGCCAGGAUGGUCUCGAUCUCUUGACUUCGUGAUCUGCCCACCUCACCUCCCAAAAUGCUGGGAUUACAGACGUGAGCCACUGCGCCCGGCCAAGAGUAGAUUCUAAGUGUUCUCAUCACAAAUCAACGAUAAGCCUGUGAGAUAGCAGAAUUUUGAAAGUGAAAAUGCGGUGAAAGGCGGUGACUGGCCUGCCAGACCCCAUCAAACUGUACACAGUCUGCACGGGAAACUCCAAGAUCAACUUGAUUCACAUUCAGAGCAGUGAAAACAGCGCAGGACUGGUGACACCUGGUACCUCUGGAGUAAGUGGUAGGAGAGAUUUAUUUUCUGAAGACAGUAACCAGGAGGUUUCUGAACUAGAGAAGCCAGAGAGCAUGGAGAUCUGGAGGACGAUGUACUGAAAACGGAGGAAUUAAAAGACUAUAGAGUAGCUGACUGAAUAUUUGGGUUCCAGCCUUCUUCUCACACGUGGCUUCCAGAACACAGCAACCAGGUGCAUAUUCUUCAAGUAGGGGACUGAAGAGUCUUCUCUGGGCAACUGACCAACCCAAGAGGAGAAGCCUAAAGUAAGGGUUCCCUAGAAAACAGUCAAGUCAUGUCACUCCCAGUGCCAGGAAGAAAGCUAUGUGAACACAAAGGCAGAGAUCAGGGCAAUGCGUCUGCGAGUCAAGGACCAGCAAAGAUUGCCAGCGAGCUGGGAGAGGCGUGUAAGAGAGCCUCCCUCACAGCCCGCAGAAGGGACCAACCCUGCCUGCGGAACUGUGAGACACACAUUGCUCUUGUCUAAGCCACCCAGUCUCUGGUACUCUCUCUCUUUUUUUUAACUCAUCAUCAUCAUCAUAUUAUUAUUAUUAUUAUUAUCAUUAUUAUUUUGAGACGGAGUUUUGCUCUUGUUACCCAGGCUGGAGUGCAAUGGCGCGAUCUUGGCUCACCGCAACCUCCACCUCCUGGGUUCAACAAUUCUUCUGCCUCUUGAGCAACUGGGAUUACAGGCACGCACCACCAUGCCCAGCUAAUUUUUUGUAUUUUUAGUAGAGACGGGGUUUCACCAUGUUGACCAGGAUGGUCUUGAUCUCUUGACCUCGUGAUCCACCUGCCUCGGCCUCCCAAAGUGCUGGGAUUACAGGGUUGAGCCACCGCACCCGGCCUUAACUCAUCAUAUUAUUAUUUUUUUAACUUUUAUUUUAGGUUUGGGAAUACACAUGCAGUUGUGUUACAUAGGUAAACACCUGUAAUAGGGGUUUGUUGUAUAUAUUAUUUCAUCAGCCAGGUAUUAAGCCCAGUAUGCAAAAGUUAUCCUUUCUGCUCCUCUCCCUUCCUUCACCCUCCAUGCUCAAGUAGACCCCAGUGUCUUUGUUUCCUUCUUUGGUUUAUAAAUCCUUGUCAUUUAUCUCUUACUUAUAAAUAAGAGCAUGUAGUAUUUGGUUUUCUGUUCCUGCAUUAGUUUGCUAAGGAUAAUAGCCUCUAGCUUCAUCCAUGUUCCUGCAAAAGACAUGAUCUCAUUCUUUUUUAUGGCUGCAUAGUAUUCCGUGGUGUAUAUGUAUCAUGUUUUCUUUAUCCAGUUUUCACUGAUGGACAUUUAGAUUGAUUCCAUGCCUUUGCUAUUGUGAAUAGUGCUGCAAUGAACAUUCGUGUACACGCAUCGUUAUGGUAGAAUGAUAUAUAGUUCUCUGGGUACCUACCCAGAAGUAGGAUUGCUGGGUCAAAUGGUAGUUCUGUUUUUAGCUCUUUAAGGAAUCACCACACUGUUUUCCACAAUGGUUGAACUAAUUUACACUCCCACAAACAGUGUAUAAGCAUUCCCUUUUCUCCACAACCUUGCCAAUACCUAUUAUUUUUCGAUUUUUUUUUUGAGACGGAGUAGCCUGUUGCCCAGGCUAGAGUGCAGUGGUACAAUCUUGGCUCACUGCAACCUCCACCUCCUAGGUUCAAGAGAUUCUCCUACCCUAGCCUCCAAGUAUCUGGGACUACAGGCAUGCACCACCACACCCAGCUAAUUUUGUAUUUUUAGUAGAGAUGGGGUUUCCUCAUGUUGGCCAGGCUGGUCUUGAACUCCUGACCUCAGGUGAUCCACCUGCCUUGGCUUCCCAAAGUGUGGGAAUUACAGGCAUGAACCAUGGUGUCCAUCCUAUUUUUUGAUUUUUAGUAAUAGCCAUUCUGGCUGGUGUGAGGAGGUAUGUCACUGUGAUUUUGUCUUGCAUUUCUCUAAUGAUUAGUGAUAUUGAGCUUUUCUUUAUGUGCUUGUUGGCCACAUGUAUGUCUUGUAUUGAGACGUGUCUGAUCAUGUCCUUUGCCCACUUUUUAAUGGGGUUGUUUGUUUUCCUCUUGUAAAUUUUUUAAGUUCCUUAUAGAUGCUAGAUAUUAGAUCUUCAUGUGGCACCUUCUUACAUUAGGCCUAGCAAACAAAUACACAUGGUAUGUGGGAGCUCAUUUCCACGUGCUCCAUGAAGGAAAGACCUGUGUUUCUGAAUCUUCCUCUGAAGGAAGGAGGAAAGGAAAGCAGAAAAGAGGGAGGGAAGGAAGAAAAGGGGUGGGCCACAAUAUGCCUGCACCUGCCUUGACCCCAGCAGGACCUCAAAAUCUGCCUUUGAGCAAAAGGGCUUAUACUUCUGUACUUAAUCUUUAUAUCAUCAUCAGAUGUUUACGUAUAACAUUGAUAGUUGAAAUACAAACGUAUAUACAUACCAAAGAAAAGCAGAGAAGAAAAUUCUUCUUUUUUCUCCAGGUCUCCAGAUGAGAGACUAACUGCUUGGUAAUGUUGAGGUUAAAAAAAGAACGUGAAGUCAAUAAAGGAUGAAAAAUGUUG